UACGUAGGGGGCGAGCGUUGUCCGGAAUUAUUGGGCGUAAAGGGCUCGUAGGCGGUUUGUCGCGUCGGGUGUGAAAACCCAGGGCUUAACCCUGGGCUGGCUUUCGAUACGGGCAGACUAGAGGUAUGCAGGGGAGAACGGAAUUCCUGGUGUAGCGGUGAAAUGCGCAGAUAUCAGGAGGAACACCGGUGGCGAAGGCGGUUCUCUGGGCAUUACCUGACGCUGAGGAGCGAAAGUGUGGGGAGCGAACAGG
rnacentral:rRNA from 1 species